GACGAACGCUGGCGGCGUGCUUAACACAUGCAAGUCGAACGGAGUGGCGAACGGGUGAGUAACACGUGGGUGAUCUGCCUUGCACUUCGGGAUAAGCUUGGGAAACUGGGUCUAAUACCGGAUAGUGCAAGAUGAGCUCGCGGCCUAUCAGCUUGUGGGGGGGGUAAUGGCCUACCAAGGCGUCGACGGGUAGCCGGCCUGAGAGGGGGUACGGCGACCAUGGGACUGAGAGACGGACCAGACUCCUACGGUAGGCAGUAGUGGGGAAUAGUGCACAAUGGGCGGACGUCUGAUGCAGAGACGUCGCGUGGGGGAUGAAGGCCUUCGGGUUGGAAACGCCUUGCGACAGGGACGCGGUACCUGCAUAAGAAGCACCGGCUAACUACGUGCCAGCAGCCGCGGUAAUAC
rnacentral:rRNA from 1 species